rnacentral:lncRNA from 1 species
UCCAUGCAUUGAUAUGCAGACGAGUACCCUUUGGUAUGUGGUAACCAGCCACUCUACAAUCUUGCACUGCUUCGUGCGGUAAAAGAAAUGGAACAGGUGGAUACAAGCGCAAUGUUUCUUUAACGAUAGCUUGAAGGUACACUAAUUUUUUUAUGUCACUAUCUUCGACCCACCUCUCUUUACCCACUUUCAUGUCUAUCUCUUCUUGGGCUUGUUUCAUAACAUGUGGAUUGUUGAGUAACAAGGACAUUACCCAUAUCAAAUGAACAGCGGUUGUGUCAUUGCCAUCUAAGAUUAAACUCUGCAUAAAUUAUUUAAUUUUUGUUACAGAUCGAAAACAAAUGUAACUACAGUGAACCCCAAGAUGGGGUGGAAAACAUGGUAAUGCGUCGUCAGUUUAUGCAUUAUUUAAGAUACACGAAAAUUGUAACCAUAAUAAAAAUCAUAGUUAUUUCGACAGGUAGUCUUGGAAAUAUUUUCCUAAAUGUGUAUCAAAUAUGUAUAGAAAUAUUCAUUUAUAGUUUAUACAACCAAAUUGUUCCUAAAAAGAUUGAGCUCUUUCCGAAUUUGAAAGCAAAUUAAUAUAAACUUUUAUUUUUUCCUUAAUAAUAAUUUUUUAUAACCACACGUAUUAUAAGAUAUAGAAACAAGCCAAUAUUAACCCUAUACUAUCCACCGAGGGCACUUUCAUCCCUCGUUAAUAAUUGGGCCUUUUUUCCCCUCUCCUGUUACAAAAGCGUCUCAGGUUUGUGCUUGUUUUCAAAUCCAGUUAUCGAAAUUCGAAAAAGAAUGAAAAAUCCAGAAAUUGUUAUGGGAAAAGGGCAAAGUGUUCUCUUCGUAUAGUUGGGCAAUUUCGAACCUUGGAAGUUUUCUUCAUGAUAAUUCUAAUUAAUGCACAUUCUGGCACAUUCUUCACCUAGUACACAAAUCACUCAUUCAUGAUGAUAUCAUUAUGGAUACACGAGGACCUAGGCACUUAUUCACUCAGAAAACAUCAUCUAUUCAUCUCACAAAAAUCAGUCAUGUAUUCACCAUCCAUCUCUUUCUACCAUGUAAAGCCACUGAUCAUAACCACAUAUCUCCGUCGUAACUCGGUACAUUAAGCUCUCGUUAAUAAACACGAACCUAAAUGAUAAGGUAAGGGGUUACGUGAUCCCGUUAGUCUCGGAAAAAAAUUUGUAUAUACAUAUUAUAUAUAUCUAUACAUAUGAAUGGAACCCCUUAAAUAUUUUAAGUUUGCCCCAGAAACAAAGAUCCGAAUGGAAAAGUGAUUGCUUUGGGGCCUUAUAUUUCCAACUUUGAUGGGGACGUAUGUUUGAAACCCCCUUUGCGCCUUUAGCUUCUUUUUUUUUUUCUCCUUUCUAGUUUUAUUCUUUGAGUACAGUAUAAUUUAUAUUUAAUAGAAAAUUACUUUAUCUUUUACUUUGAAUUCAAUUAUAAUUUAGUACUAAUAUAUAAUAGUUAACUUAAUUAAUAUUUUUGUUCUUUGAUUACAAUAUAAUUUAUAUUUAAUGGAAUUUUUUUUUGCUUUUAUCUUUUUUUAUUUCAUUUAUAGUUUAGUACUAAUACGCAAUAGUCAACUUAAUUAAUUUUGUUCCUUCUCUUCUCAUAGCGCCUAAGCGAAGAAAUCUCUUUUUCUUUUAUAUUUUUCAUUUAUAGUUUAGUACUAAUACGUAAUAGUCAACUUAAUUAAUUUUGUUCCUUCUCUUCCGAUGGCACCUAUUUUGCGAAGAAAUAUAUAUAAGGGAUAAUUAGAACUUCCACUUGAUUUACCUUAGGCAAAGUAACGCCGACGCCUUCUGUCAUGUCUAUUGGCGUGUUUGAUGGCGUACUAAAAUCAAAACCUUGAAGCAAGCGACCAAAAGUCAGAUGUGUCACUAAAGUCGCAAAACUUAUCCCCGGACACGACCGUCUCCCAGAACCAAACGGAAUAAAUUCAAAAUUCUGACCGCGGGCAUCUAUAUUUGCUUUGCUCGUCAAGAAUCUCUCAGGCAUAAACUUUUCGGGAUCUGGCCAAAUUUCAGGAUCACGAUGUACUUUCCAUGCAUUGAUAUGCAGACGAGUACCCUUUGGUAUGUGGUAACCAGCCACUCUACAAUCUUGCACUGCUUCGUGCGGUAAAAGAAAUGGAACAGGUGGAUACAAGCGCAAUGUUUCUUUAACGAUAGCUUGAAGGUACACUAAUUUUUUUAUGUCACUAUCUUCGACCCACCUCUCUUUACCCACUUUCAUGUCUAUCUCUUCUUGGGCUUGUUUCAUAACAUGUGGAUUGUU